GGGCUUAAAUUGGCCAAAUGAGUCGGGCUUAAUGGGCCCAGGCUUAGCGGGCUUGGGCUCUAGCGGGCACGGGCCUAACACUUUCGGGCUUUGUGGGCUCAACGGGUGGGACCAGCCCAUAUGGUCAUGGGUUAAAUGGGUCGGGCUCGUGGCCUUAGCGGGCCUAACGAGCUUUUUCAUUUUCGGGCUUUUUUUAUUUUUUUUUAUUUAAGG
rnacentral:lncRNA from 1 species